rnacentral:rRNA from 1 species
UUAAAAUGAGAGUUUGAUCCUGGCUCAGGACGAACGCUGGCGGCGUGCCUAAUACAUGCAAGUCGAACGAAACUUUCUUACACCGAAUGCUUGCAUUCACCGUAAGAAGUUGAGUGGCGGACGGGUGAGUAACACGUGGGUAACCUGCCUAAAAGAAGGGGAUAACACUUGGAAACAGGUGCUAAUACCGUAUAUCUCUAAAGAUCGCAUGAUCUUUAGAUGAAAGAUGGUUCUGCUAUCGCUUUUAGAUGGACCCGCGGCGUAUUAACUAGUUGGUGGGGUAACGGCCUACCAAGGUGAUGAUACGUAGCCGAACUGAGAGGUUGAUCGGCCACAUUGGGACUGAGACACGGCCCAAACUCCUACGGGAGGCAGCAGUAGGGAAUCUUCCACAAUGGACGCAAGUCUGAUGGAGCAACGCCGCGUGAGUGAAGAAGGUCUUCGGAUCGUAAAACUCUGUUGUUAGAGAAGAACACGAGUGAGAGUAACUGUUCAUUCGAUGACGGUAUCUAACCAGCAAGUCACGGCUAACUACGUGCCAGCAGCCGCGGUAAUACGUAGGUGGCAAGCGUUGUCCGGAUUUAUUGGGCGUAAAGGGAACGCAGGCGGUCUUUUAAGUCUGAUGUGAAAGCCUUCGGCUUAACCGGAGUAGUGCAUUGGAAACUGGAAGACUUGAGUGCAGAAGAGGAGAGUGGAACUCCAUGUGUAGCGGUGAAAUGCGUAGAUAUAUGGAAGAACACCAGUGGCGAAAGCGGCUCUCUGGUCUGUAACUGACGCUGAGGUUCGAAAGCGUGGGUAGCAAACAGGAUUAGAUACCCUGGUAGUCCACGCCGUAAACGAUGAAUGCUAGGUGUUGGAGGGUUUCCGCCCUUCAGUGCCGCAGCUAACGCAAUAAGCAUUCCGCCUGGGGAGUACGACCGCAAGGUUGAAACUCAAAGGAAUUGACGGGGGCCCGCACAAGCGGUGGAGCAUGUGGUUUAA